UACAGAGGGUGCAAGCGUUGUUCGGAAUCAUUGGGCGUAAAGCGCACGUAGGCGGCUUUGCAAGUCGGGUGUGAAAGCCUGGGGCUCAACCCCAGAAGUGCAUUCGAAACUGCAGAGCUUGAGUCUGGAGAGGGCAGUGGAAUUCCGGAGUGUAGAGGUGGAAAUUCGUAGAUAUUCGGAGGAACACCAGUGGCGAAGGCGACUGCCUGGACAAAGACUGACGCUGAGGUGCGAAAGCGUGGGGAGCAACGGG
rnacentral:rRNA from 1 species